rnacentral:rRNA from 1 species
GACGAACGCUGGCGGCGUGCCUAAUACAUGCAAGUCGAACGCAGUGGGGCCGGGUGAGUAACACGUGGGUAACCUCCCAUCAGAGGGGAUAACACUUGGAAACAGGUGCUAAACCGAUACCGAUGGAUGGACCCGCGGUGCAUUAGCUAGUUGGUGAGGUAACGGCUCACCAAGGCCACGAUGCAUAGCCGACCUGAGAGGGGGAUCGGCCAAACGUGGACGUGUACACGGCCCAGACCCCUACGGGAGGCAGCAGUAGUGAAUCUGCGGGAAUGAACGAAAGUCUAGCCGAGCAUCGCCGCGUGAGUGAAGAGGGUUUUCGGAUCGUAAAGCUCUGUUGUUAGUGAAGCAAUAUCUACACAGAAAGCCACGGCUAACUACGUGCCAGCAGCCGGGGUAAUA